UACGUAGGUGGCAAGCGUUGUCCGGAUUUAUUGGGUUUAAAGGGUGCGUAGGCGGCAUUUUAAGUCAGUGGUGAAAUACGGCAGCUCAACUGUCGAGGUGCCAUUGAUACUGGGAUGCUUGAGUACUGAUGAGGUAGGCGGAAUGGACGGUGUAGCGGUGAAAUGCUUAGAUAUCGUCCAGAACACCGAUAGCGAAGGCAGCUUACUAAGGAGUAACUGACGCUGAGGCACGAAAGUGUGGGGAUCAAACAGG
rnacentral:rRNA from 1 species